GGACUCGUAGUUUAGUGGUAGAAUGCUCGCGUAGAUAACAUGUGCGAGAGGUUCGGGGUUCGAUUCCCCGCGAGUUUA
rnacentral:tRNA from 1 species